CCAGACUCCUACGGGAGGCAGCAGUGGGGGAUAUUGCACAAUGGGGGAAACCCUGAUGCAGCGACGCCGCGUGAGUGAAGAAGUAAUUCGUUACGUAAAGCUCUAUCAGCAGGGAAGAAAAUGACGGUACCUGACUAAGAAGCCCCGGCUAACUACGUGCCAGCAGCCGCGGUAAUACGUAGGUGGCAAGCGUUGUCCGGAUUUACUGGGUGUAAAGGGCGUGCAGCCGGGAAGACAAGUCAGAUGUGAAAUCCCGCGGCUCAACCGCGGAACUGCAUUUGAAACUGUUUUUCUCGAGUAUCGGAGAGGUAAUCGGAAUUCCUAGUGUAGCGGUGAAAUGCGUAGAUAUUAGGAGGAACACCAGUGGCGAAGGCGGAUUACUGGACGGCAACUGACGGUGAGGCGCGAAAGCGUGGGGAGCAAACAGGAUUAGAUGCCCCGGUAU
rnacentral:rRNA from 1 species